GAUGAACGCUGGCGGCGUGCCUAAUACAUGCAAGUCGAGCGAACAGACGAGGAGCUUACUCCUCUGACGUUAGCGGCGGACGGGUGAGUAACACGUGGAUAACCUACCUAUAAGACUGGGAUAACUUCGGGAAACCGGAGCUAAUACCGGAUAACAUGUUGAACCGCAUGGUUCAACAGUGAAAGACGGUCUUGCUGUCACUUAUAGAUGGAUCCGCGUCGCAUUAGCUAGUUGGUAAGGUAACGGCUUACCAAGGCAACGAUGCGUAGCCGACCUGAGAGGGUGAUCGGCCACACUGGAACUGAGACACGGUCCAGACUCCUACGGGAGGCAGCAGUAGGGAAUCUUCCGCAAUGGGCGAAAGCCUGACGGAGCAACGCCGCGUGAGUGAAGAAGGUCUUCGGAUCGUAAAACUCUAUUAUUAGGGAAGAACAAAUGUGUAAGUAACUAUGCACGUCUUGACGGUACCUAAUCAGAAAGCCACGGCUAACUACGUGCCAGCAGCCGCGGUAAUACGUAGGUGGCAAGCGUUAUCCGGAAUUAUUGGGCGUAAAGCGCGCGUAGGCGGUUUUUUUAAGUCUGAUGUGAAAGCCCACGGCUCAACCGUGGAGGGUCAUUGGAAACUGGAAAACUUGAGUGCAGAAGAGGAAAGUGGAAUUCCAUGUGUAGCGGUGAAAUGCGCAGAGAUGUGGAGGAACACCAGUGGCGAAGGCGACUUUCUGGUCUGUAACUGACGCUGAUGUGCGAAAGCGUGGGGAUCAAACAGGAUUAGAUACCCUGGUAGUCCACGCCGUAAACGAUGAGUGCUAAGUGUUAGGGGGUUUCCGCCCCUUAGUGCUGCAGCUAACGCAUUAAGCACUCCGCCUGGGGAGUACGACCGCAAGGUUGAAACUCAAAGGAAUUGACGGGGACCCGCACAAGCGGUGGAGCAUGUGGUUUAAUUCGAAGCAACGCGAAGAACCUUACCAAAUCUUGACAUCCUCUGACCCCUCUAGAGAUAGAGUUUUCCCCUUCGGGGGACAGAGUGACAGGUGGUGCAUGGUUGUCGUCAGCUCGUGUCGUGAGAUGUUGGGUUAAGUCCCGCAACGAGCGCAACCCUUAAGCUUAGUUGCCAUCAUUAAGUUGGGCACUCUAAGUUGACUGCUGGUGACAAACCGGAGGAAGGUGGGGAUGACGUCAAAUCAUCAUGCCCCUUAUGAUUUGGGCUACACACGUGCUACAAUGGACAAUACAAAGGGUAGCGAAACCGCGAGGUCAAGCAAAUCCCAUAAAGUUGUUCUCAGUUCGGAUUGUAGUCUGCAACUCGACUACAUGAAGCUGGAAUCGCUAGUAAUCGUAGAUCAGCAUGCUACGGUGAAUACGUUCCCGGGUCU
rnacentral:rRNA from 1 species